CCUACGGGUGGCAGCAGUGGGGGAUAUUGCACAAUGGGGGGAACCCUGAUGCAGCGACGCCGCGUGGGUGAAGGAGCGUUUCGGCGCGUAAAGCCCUAUCGGCAGGGAAGAAGAUGACGGUACCUGUUUAGAAAGCUCCGGCUAACUACGUGCCAGCAGCCGCGGUAAUACGUAGGGAGCAAGCGUUGUCCGGAAUUACUGGGCGUAAAGGGCGCGUAGGUGGGCGCUUAAGUCAGGUGGGAAAACUCCGGGCUCAACCUGGAGACUGCACUUGAAACUGGGUGUCUUGAGGGCAGGAGAGGAAAGUGGAAUUCCUAGUGUAGCGGUGAAAUGCGUAGAUAUCACGCAGAACCCCGAUUGCGAAGGCAGCAUACCGGUGCACAACUGACGCUCAGGCACGAAAGCGUGGGUAUCGAACAGGAUUAGAUACCCUUGUAGUC
rnacentral:rRNA from 1 species